UCUAGAAACCAUUCUAGUGUUUAUAACUCUACGAAUCCACUAGAUGAGCAUCAGGGAAGAAGCCUCACCAGCUGGGCUGAAUCAUAGAGUUGAAAACAGUAGUGAGGUCUCUCUAGAAACCAUUCUAGUGUUUAUAACUCUACGAAUCCACUAGAGAACAGGGGAGAUGCCUCACCAGCAGGGCUGAAUCAUAGAGUUGAAAACAGUAGUGAGGUCUCUCUAGAAACCAUUCUAGUGUUUAUAACUCUACGAAUCCACUAGAGAACAGGGGAGAUGCCUCACCAGCAGGGCUGAAUCAUAGAGUUGAAAACAGUAGUGAGGUCUCUCUAGAAACCAUUCUAGUGUUUAUAACUCUACGAAUCCACUAGAGAACAGGGGAGAUGCCUCACCAGCAGGGCUGAAUCAUAGAGUUGAAAACAGUAGUGAGGUCUCUCUAGAAGCCAUUCUAGUGUUUAUAACUCUACAAAUCCACUAGAGAACAGGGGAGAUGCCUCACCAGCAGGGCUGAAUCAUAGAGUUGAAAACAGUAGUGAGGUCUCUCUAGAAACCAUUCUAGUGUUUAUAACUCUACGAAUCCACUAGAGAACAGGGGAGAUGCCUCACCAGCUGGGCUGAAUCAUAGAGUUGAAAACAGUAGUGAGGUCUCUCUAGAAACCAUUCUAGUGUUU